rnacentral:sRNA from 1 species
UUCUAGCCCCGAUAGCAGUGAAAAUCCUUUUUAUCAGCCUUUUUGGCGGAUAAAAAGAGUACUUCACUAUACUUUCAUUUUAAAUGGAGUUCAGUGAAUUUCAUUUGUAACGAAUAGCGGGAAAUAGC